UCCUACGGGAGGCAGCAGUGGGGAAUAUUGCACAAUGGGCGCAAGCCUGAUGCAGCAACGCCGCGUGAGCGAUGAAGGCCUUCGGGUCGUAAAGCUCUGUACUAAGGGAAGAAUAAAUGACGGUACCUUAGGAGGAAGCCCCGGCUAACUACGUGCCAGCAGCCGCGGUAAUACGUAGGGGGCAAGCGUUAUCCGGAAUUAUUGGGCGUAAAGAAUUCGUAGGUGGAUUUGCAAGUCUUUGGUGAAAGGCUACGGCUUAACCGUAGUAAGCCUUGGAAACUGUAAAUCUUGAGUGCAGGAGAGGAAAGCGGAAUUCCUAGUGUAGCGGUGAAAUGCGUAGAUAUUAGGAGGAACACCAGUGGCGAAGGCGGCUUUCUGGACUGUAACUGACGCUGAGGAACGAAAGCGUGGGGAGCGAACAGGAUUAGAUACCCUGGUAGUCCACGCCGUAAACGAUGAGUACUAGGUGUCGGGAUCGCGAGGUCUCGGUGCCGCAGCUAACGCAUUAAGUACUCCGCCUGGGGAGUACGCACGCAAGUGUGAAACUCAAAUGAAUUGACGG
rnacentral:rRNA from 1 species